UAGGGAAUCUUCGGCAAUGGGGGGAACCCUGACCGAGCAACGCCGCGUGAGUGAAGAAGGUUUUCGGAUCGUAAAGCUCUGUUGUUAAGGAAGAACGAGUAUGAGAAUGGAAAGUUCAUACUGUGACGGUACUUAACCAGAAAGGGACGGCUAACUACGUGCCAGCAGCCGCGGUAAUACGUAGGUCCCGAGCGUUGUCCGGAUUUAUUGGGCGUAAAGCGAGCGCAGGCGGUUAGAUAAGUCUGAAGUUAAAGGCAGUGGCUCAACCAUUGUAGGCUUUGGAAACUGUUUAACUUGAGUGCAGAAGGGGAGAGUGGAAUUCCAUGUGUAGCGGUGAAAUGCGUAGAUAUAUGGAGGAACACCGGUGGCGAAAGCGGCUCUCUGGUCUGUAACUGACGCUGAGGCUCGAAAGCGUGGGGAGCGAACAGG
rnacentral:rRNA from 1 species